AACCUGGUUGAUCCUGCCAGUAGUCAUACGCUCGUCUAAAAGAUUAAGCCAUGCAUGUCUAAGUAUAAAUGCUUUAUACUGUGAAACUGCGAAUGGCUCAUUAUAUCAGUUAUAGUUUAUUUGAUAGUACCUUACUACUUGGAUAACCGUAGUAAUUCUAGAGCUAAUACAUGCGUAAAGUCCCGAUGGGAUGUACUUAUUAGAUCGAAACCAAUGCGCUUCGGCGGUAUUUUGGUGAGUCAUAAUAACUGUGCGGAUCGUAUGGCCUUGUGCCGACGAUGAAUCAUUCAAGUUUCUGCCCUAUCAGUUUCGAUGGUAGGGUAUUGGCCUACCAUGGCGUUAAC
rnacentral:rRNA from 1 species